rnacentral:rRNA from 2 species
UGGGCCUCAGGUCAGAUGAGGCGACCCGCUGAAUUUAAGCAUAUCAU